AUGCUUUGUCAGCCUCGUGCCGGGAGCGAACUCCCGCACCGUCUCCUCCUGCUUGCUGACUUUGAAGGAUGCUUCACCCCUCACCCCCUCCAACAAGGGAGAAGAAAUACCAAAGAUAGAAUGGGGAGGGCAUGUUCCAGUUGGAUUGUGCUAAUGCACAUAUUCAUGAAUCUCUCCAAACAGGAUUCACUGCUCUCCAGGGAACCCUUGAACUGCCCUGCUGCCUCUGUUCUUUUCCCAACUGAGCAGCACAGUUUGAAGCAGAUGAAGAAAGACUUUGCCAUUGUAUCUACUACUAAAGAUUCCUGGGAAAGGAAUUAUUACAGUUUAUUCACACACUGCCAUCUAGUUAGAUUAUCCCUUAAAAUAAUAACCUAUGUAUGCACGCUUUUCUGUCUCCCCAAUUUUCUAUCUUCUAUGAUCCCCUAUGUCCCUCUUUAUUUUCUUCUGGUGACUGCAUUUGUCCUCUAA
rnacentral:lncRNA from 1 species